CACUCCCAUUCUAUUAAAAUAAUAUAUAAACAUAAAAAAAUAAAUCAAAAGCUAUCAAUUCACAAAGAUUAGACUCAGAAUUAAAACACUCUCUCUUCCCCCUUUCAUCGGCGCUGCUCAAACGUAACCCUAGAACUCGAUUUGUCCAAUUACACCUGCAAUCUCCGAUUACACAUCUUAGUUUGUUCAUAUUAACACCUUUUCUUUGUUUCUUUCUAUCUAUUGUUCGAUUUUCUCGUUUGUUUCAAUCUUUUUGACAGAUUCAGAGUGGUGUGUGUUGGUGUUUGGAGCUUAAAGAUUCAGAGCUUGAGGAACGGAGUUUAUUCGAGCCUAAAGCCUGGAGCUUGGAGCCUAAAGCUUGGAGCUUGGAUAUUGGAGUUUCAGUUCACUUUUGGGGGUCCAAGUUUUGUUUUGUUUGGUUUUGGAGUUUGCUUGGUUAGAUUUCUCAAAGUACAUCCUGGUACUAAGAAGUCUCAAGAAUUUGCUAGCUUUGAGUCGGAGGUGAAGUUCUUCCUCGCGCCUUAUAUGGAUGGCAGUUGGAAUGAUUCUGUAGAUGCCUUCCUUGGUAGAGGAGAAGCAACUCAGCACCAAUGCAGAAAUUGUGGUGACAUCUUCUAUGACAAGUGUACCCAUGGAACAAUUGCUCUCAAUGCUGAUGAAAAUGCUCCACAAGUUCGAGUUUGUGAUCGUUGCAUGGAGGGCUUCUUCCAUACAUGUGAACGUCUUCUUUGGUGAAGCAACAACUCAAUUCCCAACUGCCAGGGGAGGGGUGAGUUAAUUGCUGGAAUUGCUUUUUUAACUCAACAUGCAUAUAUCUAGAUUUUAGCAGAUGCAAUGGGGCUAGGAAAAACUGUAAUGACCCAUUCGAAGCCAGAAAGUAUUACAGUAUCUGUUCAAUAUGGUGGUGAAAGAAGUAAUGACCCCGAGGUCAUAGCAAAACCUGAUGUAGUUUUAACAACUAUGGUGUCCUAACUGCAGCUUAUAAGAGUGAAGCUUAUAGGAAUAUAGCCGUUGGACUAUCUGAAACUUAUGGAAUUGACUACUCUGUUUCAUGAGAGGUUUUAAUUAAGCAACAAAUAACUCAUAUCCAAAUGGGGAUACAACAGCAAGGCUUGUUCAUUUACAUUUUAUUUUCUCUAUGCAGCUUGAAUUGUUGGUUGCAACACUUACAGAUCUCGAUGUAAUGGAUGGUAAAGUAGUGUUUUUUUAUUGGCAGAAUGCUCAAACUGGUUGUCGUGCAAUAGAAAAAGAAUAUUGUGAUUUUGUUGCUAUGCAUAUAAAAUCUUGUACUGAUAUAACCUGCACUUGCUUUUCGUAUCUUUCUGAAUGAUAGAGUUGAUUGCAAAAGUUUGUGGCAAUGAUGCAGAAAGGAGAAAAUAUAAUCGCUAAAAGACGGUUACUCUGGUUCAAGAUCCAGGGACGCUGGCUGAACCUAUCUGCUGACAUUAAGAAUACACAACUUUUUUAUUAUAUGUGAUGGUUUGGAUUUAUGACUUUGGUAAAUUAUGAUUUGGAAAUAUGUAUAGUAGUUGGUUUCGAUGUACGUAGUUUAUUUUGGAUUGGUAGAUGAUAUAAAUUGUACUUGGAAUCUUGGUAAGUGAAUGAAUAUUUUGAUAUAUUGAUUUUUUGGUUU